rnacentral:rRNA from 1 species
GAUGAACGCUGACAGAAUGCUUAACACAUGCAAGUCUACUUGAUCCUUCGGGUGAUGGUGGCGGACGGGUGAGUAACGCGUAAAGAACUUGCCCUGCAGUCUGGGACAACAUUUGGAAACGAAUGCUAAUACCGGAUAUUAUGCGAGUCUCGCAUGAGGAUCGUAUGAAAGCUAUAUGCGCUGCAGGAGAGCUUUGCGUCCUAUUAGCUAGUUGGUGAGGUAACGGCUCACCAAGGCGAUGAUAGGUAGCCGGCCUGAGAGGGUGAACGGCCCAAAGGGGACUGAGACACGGCCCUUACACCUACGGGAGGCAGCAGUGGGGAAUAUUGGACAAUGGACCAAAAGUCUGAUCCAGCAAUUCUGUGUGCACGAUGAAGUUUUUCGGAAUGUAAAGUGCUUUCAGUUGGGACGAAGUAAGUGACGGUACCAACAGAAGAAGCGACGGCUAAAUACGUGCCAGCCGCCGCCGUAA